GGGGAAUAUUGGGCAAUGGGCGAAAGCCUGACCCAGCAACGCCGCGUGAGGGAAGAAGGUUUUCGGAUCGUAAACCUCUGUCCUUGGGGACGAAAGAAAUGACGGUACCCAAGGAGGAAGCCCCGGCUAACUACGUGCCAGCAGCCGCGGUAAUACGUAGGGGGCGAGCGUUGUCCGGAAUGAUUGGGCGUAAAGGGCGCGUAGGCGGCCUGUUAAGUCUGGAGUGAAAUUCCUGCUUUCAAGGUAGGAAGUGCUUUGGAAACUGGCGGGCUGGAGUGCAGGAGAGGUUAGCGGAAUUCCCGGUGUAGCGGUGGAAUGCGUAGAGAUCGGGAGGAACACCAGUGGCGAAGGCGGCUAACUGGACUGUAACUGACGCUGAGGCGCGAAAGUGUGGGGAGCAAAC
rnacentral:rRNA from 1 species